AUGCCUCACUGACUCAUUGAAAUGACAUUGCAGAGAUGUUGUGGACAUUUCCAGCUCUACAGCGGUAAGAGCAAGUCCCUCUGAUAAACACAAGACACACAAGGCCUUCUUUCAGUGAAAGCUCCUUUAUAGGGGCAGGAUGGCUAGGAUUAGCUUUCCUUCUGUCCUCGCCUCUCUCUCGUAAGUCUCUUUAGGGUAUUCUAGCAAUGUUUAGAGAGUUGUUUUUGACAGAUGUUUACAUUUUAUUCUAGAUAUGACCACAUGUUGUGUACUGUUCUAAGUCGUCAAAAGCAAUUGUCUGACUAAUUGAGAGAUUUUAAUAAUUUCCUUCUAGAAAGAACACUAGAGCACCUCUGAAAGGCUCCACCAAAGGUGUUAUUCGGCUAUGUUUGAGGUUUUCUCUGGGUAAAGCUCAAACCAGCUAGAGCAAAAAUCACAGAAUUUUCCUCUACUCUUUUAUUUCUCAUUUUGCAUUUUACUCAGCUUAGCAAAAGAAGUAGCCCGCAGCGAGAAAACUCUAUCCACUAUGCACAUAAGAAAGAAAGAGAGGGAGAACAAGAGAAUAAAAGACAUGAAAAAGAACACAGACAGGCUGACUUAAAGGAAAUGAGAGAUAAUCUCAACACUACUGUCCAUUUUUCCAAUGUAGUCGCAAGGGAACAUCCGUAAUGGGAAAAAUCCACACAUUCUUUUUGUCACCGAACCACUGAUAUCUUCACUCUAUGGUCUUAAAUAGUCUUUUGAUGGUAUCUCGAGACCAAUUUACAGAUCUUCGCCAUUAUUACCAUAGAGCAGACGCAUCAUGUCAGCCCAUCUUUUGGGAAGGGGUCAUUCUCGGGGAACUAUCUUUGCAUGUUACCUGAGGAUGCCACAGGCUUGUUAUCCUCCUCAGACCCUGCCAACUGUAUGUGUCCCCAUCUCUUCUGACAACUAAAGGGACCCAUCACUGUUUCAGUCCACAGAGAAUGACUUAAAGGGCCUUUAAAGUGAGUAAAACCCAUUCUCUUUAAUUCUGAUUACACUCUGAAAGUGUCUUUAGCAUGUGGCGGCUAAAUUGGGCUAUCAGCGCUAAGUAGCGGCAGGGAAGAAAAGAGCCAAUUAUGCCAGUCAAAGCCAGAUGAUGAUUCUCAUCUUCACUCUCUCUAACACACACACGCACUCUCACACAAACAAAAGAGAGGAGAGGAACAUGUGUCUUUUGUUCUAAAAUAAACCCCUGACACACCUUUGUACGUCUUCACGGUAAUAAGAGACUUCACGAUUUCACUCUUACUGACUUUAUAAUGAGUCUGUUUAAUGUAAAUAGCCAGAGGCAGUAUGAUAUAAAUUCAUAUCCAUAACAAUCAAGAAUCCUUAUAGUUUAAAAAUAAAACAAUACUUUGUAAAUCAACUGUGUUAUUUUAUUUAUUUAUUUCAUGCAUGGCAGAUAACUCAAACCCUAUCAGAUGUUUAUUUGUGUGGGAUAAAACCUGUAAAACCUUCAACAAUGAGUAAGACUGAACUUAAUUCAACUGACUAUAUCCUGAGGGUAAUUUGUGUCAAAUCUGAGCUUCGUGGUGCCUGCAUGAUUAAUGUGCAUAGAGGAGUUUAUCCCUUUAUCCCUUUAGACUGUUUUGACAAUCUUAGAAUAGUAAGGUGUUGUUCGACUAACGCACAGUCCAUUAACUCCUGAUACACUCCUGAUCUCACAUUGUUUCUGCUGGAUGUCAUGGAUGUUAGUUCAUGGAAGUGAACUUUUAUAGACUAGGAAGCGAUCAGAUGCUUUGUAAUUACAACAUUAGGACACUUGGAAGAAAUGGCUGAGAGACUAAACACCUUUGUGUUUGACUGAAUGUAUGUUUUUAUAUGUAUAUGCUAAGAAAUGCUAAAUUAAAAAUGUUAACAAA